rnacentral:rRNA from 1 species
GACGAACGCUGGCGGCGUGCUUAACACAUGCAAGUCGAACGGAAAGGCCCUGCUUUUGUGAGGUGCUCGAGUGGCGAACGGGUGAGUAACACGUGAGUAACCUGCCCUUGACUUUGGGAUAACUUCAGGAAACUGGGGCUAAUACCGGAUAGGAGCUCCUGCUGCAUGGUGGGGGUUGGAAAGUUUCGGCGGUUGGGGAUGGACUCGCGGCUUAUAAGCUUGUUGGUGGGGUAGUGGCUUACCAAGGCUUUGACGGGUAGCCGGCCUGAGAGGGUGACCGGCCACAUUGGGACUGAGAUACGGCCCAGACUCCUACGGGAGGCAGCAGUGGGGAAUAUUGCACAAUGGGCGGAAGCCUGAUGCAGCAACGCCGCGUGCGGGAUGACGGCCUUCGGGUUGUAAACCGCUUUCGCCUGUGACGAAGCGUGAGUGACGGUAAUGGGUAAAGAAGCACCGGCUAACUACGUG